GCUUUUUUGAACAAACCCAAAACUGUUCCCAUUUCUAUCUUUCUUGAAAACCUAAAUAUACUGUUUCCUCUACUCAACAAGUCUUUUCAUUUCAUUACCUCAAAUAUCAAACAACUCUCUUUCCUAUCUUAGUCUGCCAUCUUUCUUAUUUCUCUAACCUAUCUUCAUUUUCCACCUUCCUCCGUCCUCAAUCUCUGCGUCUUCCGUUUUGAACGCUCCUGCUCUACAUGGCUCAACCGAUGGAGAAUAUGACGUGCAGAUGAAUAUGAUGUUGAUGGUGACGAUGAACACGUUGCUGAUGAUAUCGUGAUGUUGAUGAUCCAACGCUUCCAUGGUAGGGUUUUGAUUUCUUUUCCUGUGGUGGUCGGAGUUGAAUCGCAUACGACGAAGAAGACACCGAUUCUCCUCAGAUUUUAAAGGUUUUAUUUUUACUUUAUUGUUUUACAUUCAUUUUAAAAUCUCCAUAUCCUUCAGUUUUACCCUUUUCAGAUCUGUAACCGUUCAAUCGCAACAAUCCAGAGCGAUUCGUUGUACCGAACCUUUUCAGAUCCCCUUUUCAUAUUGUCACUACUAUCCAUAUCAUUGGUAAGUUUUUGUUACUAUGCUUUUAUUGAAUGUGUCUGAUUGUAUGGUUACCGUGAUGUGCGUUAGAUAUGCGAUGUUCGGUAUCACGGUGGUCGAUCUGCGGUGGCAACAACGUGUUUCCGUCAGUGACUGUGGUGGUGGGAUUUAUGGUGCCAUGGCUGUUGCGGGGAGUUUUAUAUGUUUGAUUACCAGAAUUAACUCUGUUGGAGGUUUUCAUCUUUUAAUAGAUGUUGUUCUUUAAGAACUUGGAUAUGUCGUUCCUCCAAUUAUUUACAAGUUUGUUUCGAUUUAGAAUCGAGUUUUGGUUUCUAUAACACCGGUUUGUCAUUUUAAAUUUAUUUAAAAGUCUGAUCACUAAUAGCAGAUUGAUAGACAGUGAUUGAAGGAUUUGCUAUUGAGGAAUGUUUGUUGAUAAAAUUUUACAUUGCAGGUUCAAGCUUUUUUGCUGCUUUUGAGAGGACGCGAUACGCCGGCAGGCAUGGCUACUGAUGAACUUCCAUUUAAUCAAACUUAUAGAGUAAAACACAUAAUGACUUUUCAGUUUUUUCUUCGUUCUUCUCCACACUAAUUAGUCUAUGAUGAAUUUGGCUUUAACUUGCUCUAAACUCUAUCACUACUACAAUAAUCAUAUAUGAUUGGAGAAUGGCUUUUCUUAUGAUUGAUAUAUAUCACAUUCAGUGUUAAUAUUUUGUUUGUGUUGAUGCAACCAUUUAAAGAUAUGAUAGAAGGAAUGAGAAUGGAUCUAAAGAAAUCAAGAUGCAAAACCUUUGAUGAAUUAUAUCUCUACUGUUGCUAGAACGGUUGGUUUAAUGAGUGUUCCAGUCACGGGAAUCUCAACGCAUUCGUAAGCCACAACUGAGAGUGUAUACAAUGCUGCCUUGGCUUUAGGAAUUGCAAAUCAGCUAACCAACCGACUCAGAUAUGUCGGAGAGGAGUAAGUUCAGAACUAUCAAUGUUUAUGUUCAAUUCAUAUCAUAAAUUUAAGAAAAAAAGUAAAUACUUAAAGACUGUGAAGUUUGAUAUGUAUACAAAAUAGAGUACUUUAAAUCAAUACGUAAGUCGUACCGUGAUAUUGGAUCUCUAUUGGCUUAACCAAAUCGCGCAACUGCCGCUCAAGGAGUUUGACAAGAUAAGUGACUAUAUUUUCUUGCAUACAAUAUUUUCUCGCUUUGGAACUGUAUCAUCGUGAGUAAUAAUGAACAAUUGACUUGGGUAGUUCAGACUGUGACUAUUACUACUCUUGAAUCCGACUUUUGGUAUUUAUUGAAUUCUCUCAUAUGAAUGUUUAAUCUCUUUUUAGGUGACUUGAUGCAUAUGGGACUGUUUUGAUGUUGCAGGAACCAGUUUUUUGGAGGACAACAUUGUGUAACUGAAUCGGUUUUGAAUUGCAGUACAAUUUGUUUAACUGCUUCUUUGUAUAAGCAGAAAAGCCCAUUAUGCUUAGAUGCUAAUAUUGGUCAAGGGGGUACAAUGCAUGGAAGAUGUGUGGCCUUGACAAAUCAAAAUUGAAUUUUAUAGGGUUCAUAUAUCUCCAUUCCCUGCAAUUUUUAUAGGAUUUGAGUUUAUUUAAUAAAAGUUGUUAGUUAUUCUAAAGGUUAGUAGUUAUAGUUAGGUUGUUAAUAGUUAAUAAUUACUUAUAGAAAGAUAUUAAAACUGUUACAGGGUUAUUGUUCUGUUAGGAUAUACCACAAUGCAGUGUGUGUUUGUAUGCAAAUAUAUGUGUGUAUGGUUCGCUUGGAUAUGUAUAACUGAAAAGUGUUUGUGAUAGUUUUAAUGUGAACUGAUUGUUUAAGGUCUAUUGGUUUUUUCUGUUAGUUGUAAUGUGUUUGUGAUUUUUUUAUUGUGAAUUGGAUCUUAUUUGAGUUUAUAUGUAUGUGAUGUGCAUGUAAGCUUUAUUGUUUCAAUAUCCACUGUGAGCAAUGCUAAAGGUACCGCGGUGUCGAGGAAUGUAAAAGGUAAGCUUUAUUGUUUCAAUGUCCACUGUGAGCAAUGCUAAAGGUAAGCUUUAAUAUAGAUAAAGCCAUUGAAAUUGUUUUAAUGUCCACUGUGAGCAAUGCUAAAGGUAAGCUUUAAUGUCUUCCAUGCCAUUACACUUUGUAGUUACUGUCUAAACAUCUUUUCUAUUGAAAGUAUCCAAAAGGAUAAAAGGCUAUUAUUAUUAUAAUCCCAUGGCUCCUAUUUAUGCUAUUGUUUCAUUUUUAGCUUUGAUGUAUAGUUACUUGAAUAUAUUUAUUAGUAGCUGGAAUAUUGUGCAUGAUGAAAUUAAAGGAAGGGAAAUUCAUCACUCCUUUCCUAUGACACUUUUUUCAGGUAUGGCUUGCUUUUUUUUGGUGAAUGACAUAAGUUUAAGAGCAUGCAGAAAAGGGAGAAGACAAAUGAAGAGAAAAUGUUUAAAAGGAAGGGGAUAUAUUUUGUUGCAGCACAAUUGGUUGCAGUUGCUAUUUUUCUCACACUUAUGAUGUCAUUUGAUUUUGCUGAAGUGGAGCUAGAAAAUGUUGAUGGAGGGGAUGAAUAAUGAUCCACUGAUUUGCUUAUCUUCUUCUCAAUUACAAAGCCAAGUCUGAUUAAAACAAAUUUCUCAUACUUUUUUUUUACUAUGUGGAGAAAAUUAACAUUCUUUAAAUAGUAUGC